rnacentral:lncRNA from 1 species
AAUUAUGUUUUUGAAAUUCUUAACGCACUUAUCCAAGUCUCUCUUUUAUGAUGCUCAUUGUAUUCUUAGAAACUCAAGGAAGUUGGUCUAACCUCUUCCUUGACCUUUGGACCUUGUAAUUUCACACCCAAACCAAGAACCCUCAUGAACAUUCGGUGCUUCCUCCACAAAUCUACAAGUCUUUCGUUGUCUUCCAUCAAUCUUCACUAAACACUCAAGAAGGAUUGUAUCAGGUAGGUCAGAGCAAGACUACAAUCCAGAUAAGCCUUAAUCUCAAAAAAAAAAAAGUAUGGUUGUUUUUUAGUGUUCUUCACUAUGUCGCACCAUAUCUUUGUCUUUUUCCAUAUGUUCUUCGUUUUUUUGUAAGUUGUCACUGUUAUUUUGAGUUUCCUCAGUUUGUUUUCCAGUUUCCACCGAUUAUUUUUAUUGUUUUUAAUGUUUCUUAAAUUUCCAUAGGUUGUUCUUCAUGUUCAUGUUCUCAGGUUCAGUUCAUCUCACUUUAAUUGUUGUAGAGUUAUUUGUUUUCAAUUUUUGUUGUUUCUUUGUGAUGUAUGAUGAAUAUGCACCAAAACCCUAAAUUUUUUGUUGAAAUACAUUUUAGUUCAAAUUUGGGUAUUUUUUUCUUGAAUGAUUUUGUGUUUUUGAUUCAGUUUUGUGUGUAAUUUGGUGAGAGUUAAUGUUUCUAAUCUUGUUUUGUCAUUAGUCUUGUCUGUUUUUUUAUAAUUGUCAAAUAAUUCUAGUUUUUUACCUAUUACAUUGACUCUUAGAAGUGCGCAUCAAGUGUUUGUGUUUUUUAUCAUAAAAUUUGUAGAAACUUUUUUGACCCUUUUUUUUAAUCUUUGAGUUUUUGAAUGCUAUUUGUUCAUUAGUGUUUUCUAUUACAUAAUUUUUCAUUGAGUUUUGUAGUUUGUUCUUAUUUAAUUUGGAUUCCAAAAUUUUUCUUUCUGUC